rnacentral:rRNA from 1 species
AUUGAACGCUGGCGGCAGGCUUAACACAUGCAAGUCGAGCGGGGGAAGGUAGCUUGCUACCGGACCUAGCGGCGGACGGGUGAGUAAUGCUUAGGAAUCUGCCUAUUAGUGGGGGACAACAUCUCGAAAGGGAUGCUAAUACCGCAUACGUCCUACGGGAGAAAGCAGGGGAUCUUCGGACCUUGCGCUAAUAGAUGAGCCUAAGUCGGAUUAGCUAGUUGGUGGGGUAAAGGCCUACCAAGGCGACGAUCUGUAGCGGGUCUGAGAGGAUGAGCCGCCACACUGGGACUGAGGCACGGCCCAGACUCCUACGGGGGGCAGCAGUGGGGAAUAUUGGACAAUGGGGGGAACCCUGAUCCAGCCAUGCCGCGUGUGUGAAGAAGGCCUUAUGGUUGUAAAGCACUUUAAGCGAGGAGGAGGCUACUCUAGUUAAUACCUAGGGAUAGUGGACGUUACUCGCAGAAUAAGCACCGGCUAACUCUGUGCCAGCCGCCGCAGUAA